GCACUAGUAGCUCAGCGUAAGAGCGC
rnacentral:tRNA from 2 species